AUGGCUCAGGAUGAACGCUAGCGACAGGCUUAACACAUGCAAGUCGAGGGGCAGCAAUAAAAGUAGCAAUACUUGGUGGCGACCGGCGCACGGGUGAGUAACGCGUAUGCAACCUACCUAUCAGGAGGGGAAUAACCCGGCGAAAGUCGGACUAAUACCGCAUAAAACAGGGGCACCGCAUGGUGAUAUUUGUUAAAGAGAUUCGCUGAUAGAUGGGCAUGCGUUCCAUUAGGUAGUUGGUGAGGUAACGGCUCACCAAGCCGACGAUGGAUAGGGGAACUGAGAGGUUGGUCUCCCACACUGGUACUGAGACACGGACCAGACUCCUACGGGAGGCAGCAGUGGGGAAUAUUGGUCAAUGGGCGAGAGCCUGAACCAGCCAAGUCGCGUGAAGGGAAAAGAAGGAUCUAUGGUUCGUAAACUUCUUUUGCGAGGGGAAUAAAGUGCAGGACGUGUCCUGUUUUGUAUGUACCCUGAGAAUAAGGAUCGGCUAACUCCGUGCCAGCAGCAGC
rnacentral:rRNA from 1 species